UGGUGGAGUGAUUUGUCUGGUUAAUUCCGUUAACGAACGAGACCUCAGCCUGCUAACUAGUUACGCGAAGGAUCCUCUCCUUUGCGGCCAACUUCUUAGAGGGACUAUCGGCGUCUAGCCGAUGGAAGUUUGAGGCAAUAACA
rnacentral:rRNA from 1 species